UAAGCUUGGAUCCCGGGACUGAAGCUUGGUGCUUGCACUGGGUGGAUGAGUGGCGAACGGGUGAGUAAUACGUGAGUAACCUGCCCUUGACUCUGGGAUAAGCCUGGGAAACUGGGUCUAAUACUGGAUACGACAUGUCACCGCAUGGUGGUGUGUGGAAAGGGUUUUACUGGUUUUGGAUGGGCUCACGGCCUAUCAGCUUGUUGGUGGGGGUAAUGUGCUCACCAAGGCGACGACGGGGUAGCCGGCCUUGAGAGGGUGACCGGCCACACUGGGACUGAGACACGGCCCAGACUCCUACGGGAGGCAGCAGUGGGGAAUAUUGCACAAUGGGCGAAAGCCUGAUGCAGCGACGCCGCGUGAGGGAUGACGGCCUUCGGGUUGUAAACCUCUUUCAGCACGGAAGAAGCGAAAGUGACGGUACGUGCAGAAGAAGCGCCGGCUAACUACGUGCCAGCAGCCGCGGUAAUACGUAGGGCGCAAGCGUUGUCCGGAAUUAUUGGGCGUAAAGAGCUCGUAGGCGGUUUGUCGCGUCUGCUGUGAAAGCCCGGGGCUUAACCCCGGGUGUGCAGUGGGUACGGGCAGACUUGAGUGCAGUAGGGGAGACUGGAAUUCCUGGUGUAGCGGUGAAAAUGCGCAGAUAUCAGGAGGAACACCGAUGGCGAAAGGCAGGUCUCUGGGGCUGUUACUGAACGCUGAGGAGCGAAAAGCAUGGGGGAGCGAAACAGGGAUUAAAUACCCCUGGGUAGUCCCAUGCCCGUAAAACGUUUGGGGCACUAAGUGUGGGGGAAACAUUUCCA
rnacentral:rRNA from 1 species